CUCCUGCUGGUGCUUACCGCAAGCUGUGUUCUUAAACUGACUAUAUAGAAAAAGUAGGCAGAGUAAACCUACCCCAUGUACAUCUCAGCCCAGGCCUUCUGCCUGGUCUGUAUUGUGAAUGGGGGAACACGG